rnacentral:miRNA from 8 species
GGUCGUAUGUGUGGCGCCAUCUA